rnacentral:rRNA from 1 species
ACACCCGUUCCCAUCCCGAACACGGAAGUUAAGCUCUUCAGCGCCGAUGGUAGUUGGGGGUUUCCCCCUGCAAGAGUAGGACGUCGCCAGGC